rnacentral:rRNA from 1 species
CAGUCGCCACGGGAAUACGAGGGGGGCAAGCGUUGUUCGGAAUUAUUGGGCGUAAAGGGUGCGUAGGCGGUUUGGCAAGUCCUGUGUGAAAUCUUCGGGCUCAACCCGAAGCCUGCACGAGAAACUACCGGGCUUGAGUAUUGGAGAGGUGAGUGGAAUUUCCGGUGUAGCGGUGAAAUACGUAGAUAUCGGAAGGAACACCUGUGGCGAAAGCGGCUCACUGGACAAUAACUGACGCUGAUGCACGAAAGCUAGGGGAGCAAACAGGAUUAGAUACCCCCGUAGUCCCUGUCUCUUAUAC